CGAACGCUGGCGGUGUGCUUAACACAUGCAAGUCGAACGGAAAGGCCCUGCUUUUGUGGGGUGCUCGAGUGGCGAACGGGUGAGUAACACGUGAGUAACCUGCCCUUGACUUUGGGAUAACUUCAGGAAACUGGGGCUAAUACCGGAUAGGAGCUCCUGCUGCAUGGUGGGGGUUGGAAAGUUUCGGCGGUUGGGGAUGGACUCGCGGCUUAUCAGCUUGUUGGUGGGGUAGUGGCUUACCAAGGCUUUGACGGGUAGCCGGCCUGAGAGGGUGACCGGCCACAUUGGGACUGAGAUACGGCCCAGACUCCUACGGGAGGCAGCAGUGGGGAAUAUUGCACAAUGGGCGGAAGCCUGAUGCAGCAACGCCGCGUGCGGGAUGACGGCCUUCGGGUUGUAAACCGCUUUCGCCUGUGACGAAGCGUGAGUGACGGUAAUGGGUAAAGAAGCACCGGCUAACUACGUG
rnacentral:rRNA from 1 species